rnacentral:sRNA from 1 species
AAAGCAAGAGCUGAUAGGAUGACCAAAUAUGGGACUCCGAGUUCCUGGAAUUAGAAGGAAAAAUAUCCUCUUGGAAUUGUCAACUCAUUAUUUUACUCACUAUGGACAAGUCACACAAUCUUAAGCUGCCGCUGAGGUGACAUUCCUUCUCUGGAUAUGGCAACCAUUGAGGAUUAUUGACCUCAUCACGACUAUACUUAAAGCAAUAUUCCACAUG